AAAAAUCACAGGAUCUCGAAAACAUACAUAAAUAUAAUUUUUUUAAUUUAAAUCGACUCUCUUGAUGUAAAUAUAAGGCACAUCACAUGGUAAUUUUUUAUUUUUUUCCUUCUUUUCUUUUUUCUUGUUGUUUUUAUUUCUCCUUAUAACGCACCAACAGCAAUCCAACCCCCCCUUUUUUUUUCUCCCAGUUGGUGCCUUCUUUUGAUUUUUUUUUUUCUUCCAUUCUUUUCUUUCACCGUUUUUUAUUUAUCCAUAUAACGCAGCAACAACAACCCACCUUUUUUUUUUUCUUAUUUCUUUGCACUUUUUUUUUUCUUCUGGUUGGUGUCUUUCUUAGGUUUUCCCCCACAUAUUGGGUUCUAUAUCCAUUUUAGAUUUUAAUUGUUUUUCGAUUUCAUUCUUUCAUUCUUUUUUUUUGCUUCUCCUUAUAACAUACCAACAACAAAUAUAUAUUUCCGCUUAUAAUUUUAGAUUUUAUAUUACCUUCAUAGGUUACUUACUAAAUAUACAUAGCUUUAUCCUCUCAAACAUAUAUCUGAAGUAAUUGUAGUUUUUAUUCAUUUUAAAAAGAUGAUC
rnacentral:lncRNA from 1 species